UGUCCACUGCAAACGAUCAAGCAGGAAGUCCUGUCGGCUGCACCUUCAACACGUGCCCAGAACCCAACCACCUUGACCAACUCACCGCUCCCACCUGGGUCCGGCCCCCACGACGUUCCCGUCUCCCUGCUUCUGCCCCCGCCCCUACAGUCUGUCCUCUCCGAGUAAAAUCCAGAGUUCUGACGUGGCCCGUUGGCCCUGCCUGACGUGGACCCCCGAAUCUUGGGUCCUCACGUCCUGCUUCACCGUCCUCGCUUGUUCUCUGCUGGUCACAAGGGUCCCUGCUGUCCCUUAAACAUCCAGUUCUGGCCUCAAGGAAUUUGCACUGGCUGUUCCUUCCGCAAGGACGCCGUUCCCCGCACACCCCAUGGAGGUCUCCCCUCCUUCAGGGUCACGUUCUCAGGGAAGCCCCCGCUUUGCACUCCCCAUCCCCUGACCUGGCUUUGCCCUUCUCUGUCUCAGAGUCCCGACGCGGCCAUCAUGCACGGUCUGCCUCCCGCCCCAGGACGUCGUCUCCAGGCAGACCUCACCUGUUGCCGAAUCAUCUCCUGCACCCAGAGCGGGAGGACACACAGUAGGACUGUGACAGAGGCGCACCUCGCGGACGAGCGAACGUGUCGUGACAGCGGUCGCCAACAGAGCUAAAGAGGGAGUGGAGGCACGGAGGCAGAGACCAGGGCACCCGCCGGGGGUUCUGGAGCAGGUGAGCACACAGAGCCCUCCCGUCCCACACCCUCCGCUGCACGUGUGCUCACUCCAGAUGCAAGGGGGGGACGGCCCGAGGCGAGUCUGCAGGCGGAGGGUGGUGGCCUGCCCAGUGCUGGGCUGGAACGCGCCCCUUCCAGCUGCUGCCGGCUCACGAGUGCACGAGUGCCGACCCGGAACAUCGUUUUCCGACUCCACGUUUGGUGACCUCUCCCUGCCAGCAUGAGAUCGGCCAGGGUGGGAGCAUCCACACCCCACGAACUGGCAAGUGCCACCCUUCAGGGCUGGGUCUGUCCCCGGAGAGCUGGCUGUUAAGACCCUGGGGCCCACGUCCCGGCAGAGAGGCGGUACCGGGCAUGACCGUCUGCAAAGCCAGAGUUAAGUGCGGCCCGAGCAGCUUUACGGAGCCCCUCCUCCGAGCCUGCGUUUGAACGGGAACGAGGUGCAGGCUGUGUCCGUGAGGAGCUUCUGGCCCCGCAGGAGCCAGCCACGCCCAGAAGACACUACCAGAGGCUGGAUGGAAGGCGCCCCCACUGGGUUCUGCUCGCUACCAACGCGAAGGCUCCUUCGGUCUUGGAACAGCUCUGCCAGAAAGCUCCUCCACGCACUGAGCUGAAACCUGCCUUCUGGAAACUUCCACCCAGCACCCGGCUCAGCCUCGGGGCCUGCACCCCUGCAGUCCACGGACUCACGCUCCCGUGGCUGACGCUCCAAGGAGCGGAGAAUCCACACGGCUACACCUGCCACUGUUGCUCCCGGUGCACAUCCAGGAACGUGCUCUGGUUGCUCCCGUCUUACAGGUGAGAGAAGGCAGGCAAGCAGCCAUGCCUGAACCCAGGCCGGCGUCCUGGACUGUCGCCACGGCUACAGCACCUUCCCUUUCCCAGGUGCAGGGGGGUCUGGUAUGGGGGCCACGGGAGGGAGCGUCACGGAGCAAGGGGACCACUCGGGACAACGCCAUGAACCGUGGGAAAGCAUCCGGACGCUCAGGGUGGGUGACAGACAGGAAAGGGGUGGAGAAGAGCGUCCCUCAGGGCAUAGAGGAAAAUCACUAACACAUUUCGUUGUCUUCUCGGA